GACGAACGCUGGCGGCGUGCCUAAUACAUGCAAGUCGAACGCAGUGGGGACGGGUGAGUAACACGUGGGUAACCUCCAAUCAGAGGGGGUAACACUUGGAAACAGGUGCUAAACCGAUACUGAUGGAUGAACACGCGGUGCAUUAGCUAGUUGGUGGGGUAACGGCGCACCAAGGCCACGAUGCAUAGCCGACCUGAGAGGGUGAUCAGCCACACUGGGACUGAGACACGGCCCAGACUCCUAUGGGAGGCAGCAGUAGGGAAUCUUCGGCAAUGGACGAAAGCCUGACCGAGCAACGCCGCGUGAGUGAAGAAGGUUUUCGGAUCGUAAAGCUCUGUUGUUAGGGAAGCGUUAUCUAACCAGAAAGCCACGGCUAACUACGUGCCAGCAGCCGCGGUAAUUC
rnacentral:rRNA from 1 species